rnacentral:rRNA from 1 species
UGCAGAAUCCCGCGAACCAUCAAAUCUUUGAACGCAAGUUGCGCCCGAAGCCAUUCGGCCGAGGGCACGCCUGCCUGGGCGUCGUGA